UACGAAGGACCCGAGCGUUAUCCGGAUUUAUUGGGUUUAAAGGGUGCGUAGGCGGACUAUUAAGUCAGUGGUGAAAGCCUUCAGCUUAACUGAAGAAUUGCCAUUGAUACUGAUGAUCUUGAGUAUGAUUGAGGUGGGCGGAAUGUGUCAUGUAGCGGUGAAAUGCUUAGAUAUGACACAGAACACCGAUUGCGAAGGCAGCUCACUAAGCCAUAACUGACGCUGAUGCGACGAACGUGGGGAGCAAACAGG
rnacentral:rRNA from 1 species